CCGACCCUUCUUAUUUAUCCAACCCGUACCACUAUUUGACCCGUUUCGAAAUCUGGCCCAAUCUAAGGUGAGUACGAGGUAAGUAUAGGUAUAGAAUUUUUAAUUAUAAGUCAGGUAUGGAUAUUGGAUGACCCAAUUCAUUGCCAUCCCUAGGUGAAUAGGUUGAAACCAAUUGAUCUCCCUAUUUCUGUAUAAGCUAUGUCCUG
rnacentral:lncRNA from 1 species